rnacentral:rRNA from 1 species
AUUGAACGCUGGCGGCAAGCCUUACACAUGUAAGUCGAACGGUAACAGGUUAAGCUGACGAGUGGCGAACGGGUGAGUAAUAUAUCGGAACGUGCCCAGUCGUGGGGGAUAACGUAGCGAAAGCUACGCUAAUACCGCAUACGAUCUACGGAUGAAAGCGGGGGAUCGCAAGACCUCGCGCGAUUGGAGCGGCCGAUAUCAGAUUAGGUUGUUGGUGAGGUAAAAGCUCACCAAGCCUGCGAUCUGUAGCUGGUCUGAGAGGACGACCAGCCACACUGGAACUGGGACACGGUCCAGACUCCUACGGGAGGCAGCAGUGGGGAAUUUUGGACAAUGGACGCAAGUCUGAUCCAGCAAUGCCGCGUGCAGGACGAAGGCCUUCGGGUUGUAAACUGCUUUUGUACGGAACGAAACGGUGAGCUCUAAUACGGUUUGCUAAUGACGGUACCGUAAGAAUAAGCACCGGCUAACUACGUGCCAGCCGCCGCCGUAA